rnacentral:rRNA from 1 species
CAGCCGCCGCGGGAAUACGUAGGGUGCAAGCGUUAAUCGGAAUUACUGGGCGUAAAGCGUGCGCAGGCGGUUAUAUAAGACAGAUGUGAAAUCCCCGGGCUCAACCUGGGAACUGCAUUUGUGACUGUAUAGCUAGAGUACGGCAGAGGGGGAUGGAAUUCCGCGUGUAGCAGUGAAAUGCGUAGAUAUGCGGAGGAACACCGAUGGCGAAGGCAAUCCCCUGGGCCUGUACUGACGCUCAUGCACGAAAGCGUGGGGAGCAAACAGGAUUAGAUACCCCUGUAGUCCCUGUCUCUUAUAU